CAAAUAGCUCUUUGCUGUAGGACCUCUGCAAGCAAGCAGCAUAAGGAAAAAAUGUGAACUAGUGACAACUUAGCUCAGUUAUAGCAUCUUUCAUCUAAGGAUCUUAAAACGCUUUGUAAAAAUUAACUAAUUAAGCCUUGACACUAAUGUGAGGUAGGCAAGAGGAUAUAGAGGAAUCACUUCACUGAGCACUGAAAUGUAGCUACCUCUGGAAUGGAGUGCAGCUGCUGCAUCAGUGUAUCUAUGUAGGAUAGGAAAUGAAGAGUACUAUAUCCAAUUGGAGUUGUAGAGGAGUUUAUGGAGGCUGAACUUAAUUGUCAGAGUUGGUGUUUACUCAGAACACCUGGGUUACCACCCUUACUUUUGUGACACGUGCUAUGAACACAAGACGUAUAUUUUAUAUUUCAUCUAAAAGAAUGGCAGCUUCAACUACACAGGCUCCACUACCACCUCUUUCAGAGGGAAGAGUGUCAUCUACUGAAUCACCACCAUCCCCCAAUCAUUUCUUUUAGAUAUUCUUCCAAUAACUGAUUCAUCCCAACCCUGAUUUGCUUGUGAGAUGAUCAUGGCACAAGGUGAUGCAGUAAGGAGGAAUAGCAGUGUGCCCAAAUCUCCCAACCUGCCUUGCAACUGGGAUAACUGAUUAGAAUAUAGAGUCAUCUUUUUCCACAAGGCACAAUAUGAACACAGAUGAAUUCGCACAUGUUGGUGGAAACAUCACCUAGAGUUUGGCUUUUCUGAAUUAUUAAUUGCUAUAAUUAUUGCCAAGGGUAGUUACAUGCCAUGCAAGUGUUGGGAUGUGGGAAUCAGUAUGACACUGGGGAAAUCUUGAAAACAAGGAUGAAAGCACAGAGUAUCUAGCCCACCCACCAGCAGGAUACUGGUAAUCAGGUGCAUUUGGGGGGGGGGGGGGUGAACCAGCUAAAAACGGGCAUGCAGUUGCUAUAGGGAUAGUCUGAUGAUUUGUUUAUUUGUGUGACAAAAGUAGAAGACAAUUCUGGGAAGGGACAGAAGAAGAAUGAUCCUUAACAGCAAAAAAAUCCUGCUGCAAAAAUGAGCAAGAAGUCUGAGUGAGGGAGUUGGUACCUGCUGGGAGCCUGCCAGUUCGAUGCACCAUGCAGCACACUGCUUCUAGAACUGCACAGAUCUCACUGAAACAUUGUAUUCAAUGCUCAGGACACAGUGUGCCCACCCAAACUCCAUGCCAACCUGGAGGGGAGAACAUAACUAUGGCACUGCGCCUGGGGGCUGGCAAAGCUCUUCAAAUUUCUUCUACGUGCUAGGAUUUGUAAAUCAGAGAUGCAUCAGAACAUCUCUGCCACACACAGGUGGUGUUUCUUCUGCUGGUGACAAGAUGAAAACAUCACAUGCCUAUGUCCCUCUUCAGAUUGCAACAAUCAUGGUGACUUUUCUUAGGCUGGAAGGACAGAAACAGUCUCCACAAACAUAGAUCCUAGAAUGCCCUUCCUACCAUCCAAUCUCAGCAUCAUCGUAACAUGCUUGUUAUAAUCCAAACACCAAGGGAAUCUGUGACAUGUCUAAAAGCACCAUUAACAUCUCAGGGACUAAGGAAAUGCAUUUUAUAGCACCAAAUCAUUGCUAUCU